CGACAUUCUAGAGAAGAACAACUUACCGCGUGGCCUUCUCCCAAAGGGCGUGCAGUCAUACAAUCUCAGCCCAGACGGUAAAUUUGAGGUAACCCUUCCUGGCGAGUGCGACUUCCCCGUCACCUUCGGUGGCCAAGAUUUCAAGUUUCGUUUUGCAAGCACAGUCGGCGGCGUUAUCCAAGCUGGAUCCAUCCAUGAGGUGUAUGGCGUGAGGGUGCAGAUCAAGUUUGGGUGGCUUGGGUUAAGACAAGUCGAUCGUGCUGGUGACCAGCUGACGCUCCAGGUGCAGCAGUUCACGCAAACAUUUCCAACCAGCACCUUUGCCGUGAGCCCAUCCUGCAGCUAAGGGCUACGAUCGAUCUAGUGCAGGAACGUACGGCAGACAGGAGUCAUGCGUAAACUGCGGUGACUUGUCGUUUCGGGCAUGUCUUGACUGCAUUUCAUUAUUGCUCCUUAAUUUUUGAUGCCCUAGUAUAAACAUAUUGCCUGUUCCUGAAGUGUUGUAAUUUGAUUGAUUUUGUAAUAAAAGCUGAAUUUUAUGUCUUGGACUGUGUACCAAAACUACAUGUAAAAGAUCAAUUGCCUCUUGAUUACAUGCGUGUGCUACUUCAAUGGACAUAUAUUUUUCUUAAUUACGACAUCGUCUCAUUUUAGUAUGACAUUCCUCCAGCAAAAGAACAAAACUAGCUGUUAGCUAGAAAUAUCAUUUGAAUUUGACGGAGCUAGUAGAAUGGAAGACAACAUAAUAACACAAUAUAUAUCGAGAACACUCAGCCGCACUAAUCAAUUAAAAUAAUUGCAUGCAUACCCGGCGAAAUAAUUCUUUCUUUCUCUUCAAGUCUGAGCAUAUAUAAGUUCUUGUAACUUGUUCACGUCACGGUGCUAAGAUAAAAUUUUCGUAACUGAUGGAAACAGCUUAUCAUCGUUGCAUGUGACUCCUGCAGAUGCACACUAGCAGCCAACCGGUUACUCCAAAUCUCAUGAAAUUUUAUUUGUCAAAAUCCAUUGUCAACAAUGGUUCGGAUAUUGAACAUCUGAAUUAAAAUACAAACUAUCCAUUCGAGUGUCUGAAAUCUUCAAUCGAACGAACGAAUGGAUAAUAUCCAUACUACUUUCAUCCCUAGUGGAAAGAUAUAUUAAAAUGGGGGAAUAAUAAGGACAUAUGUAUGGGUGCUUUAGAUGUUUCAAGAAUACGCAAGUUACUGAUGCUGUUUCCGAACACUGCCAGAAUCAAGCACUAUUUCCUGAAUUCUCCAAUUUUUCUUUGUUUAUCGCCUUGCCACAAAAAUCGAGCACAGAUAUUCCAACUUUUGCAGCACACCAAGGGGGCAUCAGAAACUUGUGCCGCAAAUUUUUCUUUAUAAAAAACGUAUUUUUGCAAGUAUAUGCUUACUUUCAUGCAAUGGAAUCCAAGCUUGUAUAAUACAAAAUGUAACUAAUUAAACAUAAUAUUAUUUCCAAGAAGCCAAGAACGUGUAGCUGUAACUUGAAAAUUAAUAUUUAAUUUGAAAUCGCAAAUUCCAGAACCAUAUCUUGAGAAUUUCAUGGUUACUAAUGUUGAAAAUGUCAAAUAGACUUGUACAUGAAAAAUCCAUUAUGUCAUAUCCACAAAAUCGGGACUCAAUAAUUCAAGUUAAAAUAGAGUAGCAUUGCAAAACAAACGGAAAAUCAGGCAGCAUUAUGGACGUUGCAAUAGGAACUUUAUUGACAACAAAUAGAAGGAAUUAAAAUGUAGCAUAAUUCCUUUACAUCGUGGACGUUUUGAUGGAAUGCCAUUGCCACAAAAAUAAAUGCAAUUGAAUUCUGAUUAAUUGUGACUUGCAUGGAUGCCUGGUAAUUGGUCUAUAUAACACUGACGCACACAAAGCCACAGGAACCAGAUUAACACUCGAUUAUCCCAUCAGGCUGAGCUUGAUCAUAUACUUGUGCAAGAAACAAACCCAUUCACAGGCAGUAACAAUGUCCAGUCACUUUCUCCUUAUUGUCCUCGUGGCUUCCAUCCUUCAUGUGGCAUAUGCUACAGCAGCAACAACUUCGGCGAACUUGACAGCAGAUGCGGCCGCGACGGCGUACGACAUUCUAGAGAAGAACAACUUACCGCGUGGCCUUCUCCCAAAGGGCGUGCAGUCAUACAAUCUCAGCCCAGAUGGUAAAUUUGAGGUAACCCUUCCUGGCGAGUGCGACUUCCCCGUCACCUUCGGUGGCCAAGAUUUCAAGUUUCGUUUUGCAAGCACAGUCGGCGGCGUCAUCCAAGCUGGAUCCAUCCAUGAGGUGUAUGGCGUGAGGGUGCAGAUCAAGUUUGGGUGGCUUGGGUUAAGACAAGUCGAUCGUGCUGGUGACCAGCUGACGCUCCAGGUGCAGCAGUUCACGCAAACAUUUCCAACCAGCACCUUUGCCGUGAGCCCAUCCUGCAGCUAAGGGCUACGAUCGAUCUAGUGCAGGAACGUACGGCAGACAGGAGUCAUGCGUAAACUGCGGUGACUUGUCGUUUCGGGCAUGUCUUGACUGCAUUUCAUUAUUGCUCCUUAUUUUUUGAUUCCCUAGUAUAAACAUAUUGCCUGUUCCUGAAGUGCUGUCAUUUGAUUGAUUUUGUAAUAAAAGCUGAAUUUUAUGUCUUGGACUGUGCACCAAAACUACAUGUAAAAGAUCAAUUGCAUCUUGAUUACAUGCGUGUGCUACUUCAAUGGAUAUAUAUUUUUCUUAAUUACAACAUCGUCUCAUUUUAGGAUGAUAUUUCCUCCAGCAAAAGAACAAAACUAGCUGUUAGCUAGAAAUAUCAUUUGUAUUUGACGGAGCUAGUAGAAUGGAAGACAAGAUAAUAACUUGAAAUGUCAUUUGAGCUUGCAUGAUCUUUAAAAAAGGAUAACCAAUGCACUACAGGCAAACCGGGCAAUCAAAGGAUGCACAUGCACCUAUCCAGCACUGCAAUCCCUUUGGCAAUUCUCCUAGCAGCUUUUGGGUCGGAGUCAUCAUCUACCUUUAUAAGAGACUAGACCACCGAUGGUGGUCGAUGGUGGGUGUUGUGGAUGGAGCAUGUCCCUGUUGUGGAGGUGGUAAUGGCGUAGUGCACUUCACGUCGUUCCGUCAGUGAUGUGUGGUGAGCUAAGGGACUAUGAAAAAAUAAAACAGUGGUCAGGUCACAAAACGUGAAAAAAUAAAACAGUGGUAGCGCGGUGGAGAUAUGUUAGGGCAGGUACUGGAGGUGACCGGGGUGGUGUAACGUCCGCAAGGUCUGAUAGAACCACUACCGGAAACAAUUAGAGUGUUUUUUUUUCCGCUGAGUGUAUUCCCUCGGCCCUCGGGCACUCGGCAAAGAACUUUUUGCCGAGUGCUUCACGAAAAACACUCGGCAAAAUACAAUAGUAGAGAAUUGGCCUUUAGUCCCGGUUGGUAGGGUGCAUAUCUCUCGGAUAUCCAUCCGGGAUAAACCAACCGGGACAAAAGGGGGCGGUCUUUAGUCCCGGGUCCUUUAACCGGGAGUAAAGGACCCCCUUUAGUCCCGGUUGGAUUUCCCAACCGGGACUAAAGGGGUCCCCUUUAGUCCCGGCUUUAGUCCCGGUUGGAUUUCCCAACCGGGACUAAAGGGGUCCCCUUUAGUCCCGGCUCGAUUCCAACCGGGACUAAAUGGCGCUUGCAUGGCACUGCCGUGACGCCUGAAUUUUUCAUGCAUGCAUCACGUAUACGUAUAGUAGUACCGCGGCCCUUUUAAUUUGUUAACCUUGUAGUUGAGAUUUUUUUAGAACGAAAUCAACUAGUAUUUAAACGAAUGGGAUUUGUAAUUAUACAAUUACUAUAUAUAUACACAAUCCUUAUAUACAAUUCAUAUACACAAUUCAACUAGCUUAGUACAAAUCGAUCAUAAUUAGCGCGUAUUAUAUAUACAAAUAAAUCAAAGUAUCUUCCUACGAUCUUCCCGUCGUGGUGUUGCUGAUCGGAGUGUCUAAUUGUCGUCCAUCGUAAUAAAAUUCUCCUCUUGGAUUUACCACCUCGUCCAUUAUGAAUCCAAUGAGACCUUUACAUAUUGCCGCUACUCUUUCUUCCUUCAAGAGUCCUUGUUGAAUAUUUAACAUCUAUAAUUUGGAAAUUUGUGAAUGUUACAUGAACAAAUACAUAUAAGGAGCUAGAAAAUAAUUAACUAGUAAUAUAUUUAUUUUACGUACUUUAAAGUUGUGCGGCGUCAUCUUCGGUCCCUUGGGUCCCAAAAAACUGUGCAUGUGCUCACAGAUGUAGUAGCCACAUAGAUUACUCCCGGGUUCCUGUCUUAAGCACUUCAGUGCGGAAAAAAAUAAGUUAUGAAAUAUUCGUGUUAUACAAUGUAAUAAAUGUGCAGACUGCAUACGUACCGGGAAGUCUGUGUUCCAUGUAAGAUUUUCUUUGAAUGGACCUUUGUGUGUCCUUAUGAAUUGUUUCCAUGCGCUGCGGAUUAGAAUAAUGAAUGACAUAGUGUAACAGGGAUAAAAUUUAGGAAAUAAAUUUUUGCAUAGAGAUAAAGGUCCAGAAUUAUUACAAGCCUAGCAUGUCUUGCAAUUCUUGGUAGUCCACCGGAUCUUUCCUUAACGAAUCAAAGACAGUGACGUGGCUUCUUUCAGGCUCAAUUAUAAUAAGGAUCCAGUGGAAGCUGCGUGCGUAAAAUGUUCAUGCAUAUUAGAGCUAACUAACAUGUAGAGAUAAGGAAAAAGACAUCGAAAGUAGACGGUAUACACACACUUACUUGAAGUUGUAUGGAAGUAGUAUGAAAUCCUUGAAUGUUUGUUUGUGUAGGAAAUUGUAUAUUUCCGCAAAGGUUUUUUCCGGCGCUAAUUGUAUCUGUUGUUGGUUAACUACAGAUGGAUCCAUGAAGCCUACAUGUAGGUACGCCUCUCGGCGGCAUGUCUGAAUUAGCAUCCUACAUGAAAUGGAAGAUGAAGUUAGUACGGUGACGCACGCCAAAAUUUACAUGUAGAGAUAAUAAACGGACACUUACAGAAUCCAAGCGCUGAUCAGAGAGACGUCCAGGGCAUCAUGAUGGUACACUUCGUAUAUAUCCUUGAAGUCUAGCCACAGCACUUUCUCCCCUUCACCGUGAAAAUCUAUCGGUUUUACCUUCAUGCCGAUCAUCUCCCUCGAGUUGGCGGAUGCCAUCAUGUACCAUUGAUGGAAUUCGUACAUCUUUGUUGAUAGCUUCCGUACCAUUGAAGGCUUUACUAGAGGUUUGCCUAGCUCAUAAGUCUACUUCGGCUCAGGGGGCGGUGCAGUUGGCGUCUCGACUUGCCCUAUGCAUUCAUCAAGUCCCAGACCUGUUUCUUCCAUGAACUUCAAUAUAUUUGCUUGUUGAUCCAAGGGCAUUGCUUUUACCCAUUGAGCAUCUUUUUUUGAUAAAUGGCUGAGAUCGGGGACUGGACCGCUGGAGGAUGAUUUUCCUUUCCUUUUAUCCUUUUCAUUAGCCUUUACUAGAGCCCGUUCAUAGUUUGAUAAGAGUGGUAUCCUUUUCUUGGCUCCUUCCUCCAUCCUGAUAAAAAAGUUUAAAUCUCGCCGACUUACUGGCGGUGGCUCCAUCUCCCUUGCCUUUUUUAAUUCGGCUUGUUUCUUGAACCACUCACUGGCCUCUCGUUGGAUUUCUGCCCACUGUUCUUCAUGAGACAUUGCCUCAAAGCGUUCCUUACGAGCCACUUCAGGGUCGACCUUUGUUUUCUUCUUUCUCUGUCUUUGCUUGGGAGGCGGUGCUCGUGACUUCUUUAGUGGUGCUGCAGGUUCCUUCGAGGGGGCCGCUCUUGGUGCCGGCGACGGUGAUCGGGGAGGGGUGUUGUUAUUGUCGUCGUCGCUCCCAGCACCAGGAUGUGGUGGAGAUGGAGACCUUGAUAUAGAUGGAAGAGACGGUCCUGGAGCAGGAGAUGCCGGUCUCGAGGUAUGAGGAGAAGGUCGCUGCUGGGGAUCUACGGGGAGCGGUCUUGAGGUCUGAGGAGAUGGCUCCGUGCGGGGAAUAAUGAUGUAGCGUUUCUUCCAUAGAAUGAUCCCAUGAAGCACAUCUGCCAAUGUCUUUUCCCCGUCGCCUCCCGGGAAGUCGAGCUCUAGACCUUCAUACUGGGGAUCAACUAUUUGCUCGACGCAGACACUGGCGUAGCCUGUUGGAAUGUCCAUGCCAUGACUGCUCUGCCCUGCCAGGGUUGGUAACGCACUCCCGUACGCUACCUGUACAUAUAGUAGAAGUAAACAAGUUGAACUCCGAUCUCGAGGCCUGGAUCAAUUGACAAGAUUGCAUAAAUAUUAUGUAUAAGUAUACCUUAAUAGUGAGGUUGCCGACCGGUGCAUGCAGCUCACAUGAGGUCCGUUGCGUGAUGGCAUCCACGGGGAACCGUUGCUCCUCCACGGGUAACCUGGGCGUCUGCGCAUCGGGGAUCCCUGUAGAAGCACAACUGCUCCCGAGGUGUUGAGAAGGGCUGGCGGUGUUAGGAUUCGGCAUUGCUCCAGAUUGGGCCAACUCCGCAACUGCGUCGGCCACCCGCCGAUUGAUUUCAUCCAUCAUUCUUUGUUCUAGCAUCUGCCGCCAGCUCUCCUCGAUCUGUUCCUUUCUUCGCUUCCGGCUUCUGUAAGAGGCGCUGUCGCCUCGGAAAGCGAACUUCCACGGAACCACCCCGAACCCCCGGCAACGUCCUGGGUGCUCUGGAUUACCGAGGGCCAAUGUGAGCUCAUCAUUUUCUCGGUCCACCCUCCACCUCCCAGCCUUGGAAUCUUUAAUGUUCUUCAUGAGAUGUUCGGCCUUCUCACGUAUUGUGUCAUUGAAAAUCAGCGUCCCAUCCUCUUGGCUUAGGGAGCCUCCAUGAGCGUAGUACCAGUUCUUUGAUCGUUCGGGCCAUUCAAUAGUUGCAGGUACGAUUCCCCGUUCGAUCAGAUCUUGUUCCAUCUUCCUCCACUUGGGAAUUGCUGAGCCAUACCCACCUCGCCCCAAAUGAUGGUGGUAGCCCUUCUGACUAGCAUUUGCUGUGUUGGUCGUGAUCUUUUUCACACCUUCUUCACUCCUCUUGUAUUCAACAAAUGCAUCCCAGUGGUCCCUCAACUUUGGCCACGCGUUGAAGUCUGGAGUUUUGCCCUUCUUGAUGUAGUGGGUGUCCAGCAUCUUCUUGAAUGUCUGGAAUUGAGUAGCCAUCUUCUUAAGCGUCCACGCUUUGACAUCCUUCUCGCUAUAUCCUUCGGGGAAUGUGAAAUGUCUCUUCACGUCUUCCCACAACAUAUUCUUUUCUGUCUCUGGAAGGGCGUACGGAUUAUCGCUUCUGCCCUUCCAUUCUCUGAUGCUGAUAGGCACGUUGUCCCGGACGAUUGCCCCGAUUUGACUCACGUACUUCUUUGCUACUUUCUCGGGAGCAACCGGCCUGCCCUCUUCUGUAACUUCGGUCAUGACAAGCCUCCCUUCCAUCACCUUUGUACGACCUCGGGUCUUCUGCCCUUGUGUCGAUCCGGAGGGCUAACAGUUCAAGAUUCGUUAAUUAGUACGUAGUAGUAGCGGUGGCGUGAAACAAUACAAGAAUGGUUGUAUAUACCUCGCCGGAACCUUCCGCCACGGCAAGUUGUUGCUGCGGCUGUUGCUCUUCAUUCCCAUCGGCGGACAUGUUGAGGAACAUGUCCGCCUGGGUGCCCUCUUCAUCCGUGUAUGAUAGUGGAACGUUGUCGCCACUACCAUCACCAGCGAUUAUCUGCUCCAUGAUAUACCUUGCGGUCUCAUCGUCUGCCAUUUCAACUAUUGAUGGAAACAUACAUGGAAUCAUACAUGACAGUCAUAGAAAUCGUCUUAAUACAAAUUUGUACAAAGUCCUACAAAGUCCGGAAUCAUACAUGUAUAUAAUGAAAUCAUAAAAUAACAUGAAUCGUACAAAGUCCGGAAUAUUUAUACAAAUUUCUAUGAAUUUUGAAGAAUUUCUACAAAUUUCUAUGAAUUUCUACGAAUUUCUAUGAAUUUCUACAAAUUUCUACGAAUUUCUACAAAUUUCUACGAAUUUCUAUGAAUUUCUACAAAUUUCUACAAAUUUCUACGAAUUUUGACGAAUUUCUACGAAUUUGUAUGAAUUUCUACGAAUUUCUACGAAUUUCUACGAAUUUCUACAAAUUUGUACGAAUUUCUAUGAAUUUCUACAAAUUUCUACGAAUUUCUACGAAUUUUGACGAAUUUCUACGAAUUUGUAACAAUAUCCACGUGCGGUGCCUAGGUUGUGACGGCGGCGAUCAGGACGGCGGAGGCGGGACGGCGGCGGUCAGGGCGGCGGUACGGCGGAGGCGGGGACGGUUCACCAGAACCACGGGCGGUGCCUACUAGGUCGUGAUGGGCGGCGGGACGGCGGCGAUCACGGCGGCUACUCGGCGGCGAUCACGGCGGCUACAAGGCGGCGAUCACGGCGGCUACUCGGCAGGACGGCGGCAAUCACGGCGGCUACUCGACGAUCUCUGUAUCAACUCUAACUUAACAAACUAACUAGAAAUCUAACUUAACAAACUAACUAGAAAUCUAAAAAUCUAACUUAACAAAAUUAGAAAUCUAAAAAUCUAACUUAACAAAAUUACAAAUCUAUCUAAAAAUAAAACUUAAUUUUCUAAUUAACUUAAAAAGAAAACCCUCCCGGCGCUGCCGGCCGGCGCGGCAGCGGACCUCUCACGCGCGGGGCGGCGGCCGGGGCGGCGGGACGGCGGCGGCCGGGGCGGCGACGAGGACGAAGACGACGACGGCGGGACGACGGCGGCCGAGGCGAAGACGACGACGGCGGCGUAGGCGGGACGGCGACGAGACGGCGACGAGGGGCGACGAGGAUGGAGCCGGCGACGAGGAUGUGGAGCCGGUGGCCGGAGGCGACGAGGUGGCCGGGGGCCGGGCGCGUCGACGGACGAGGAGGGGAUCGAGGCGGGCCGGUCGGGGGACGACGACGGCGCAAUGGGGGACGUCGACGGCGCAAUGGGGGACGACGACGGCGGCGGCCGGUGAGGGAGGCGGACGGGCGGCGACGGCGGAGAACACGCGGGACUUGCGAAAUUUUGGCUAAGUGUGUAACUGGCGGGGGGUAGAAGGGAGUACAGUGCCUUUUAACCCCCCCCCUUUUAUCCCGGUUCGUAAUGGGACCCGGGACAAAAGAGCCUUUUGUCCCGGGUCCCGUCACCAACCGGGAUAAAAGGGGGGGCCUUUUAUCCCGGUUGGUGACGGGACCCGGGAUAAAAGGGUGCCCCGCCAGGUGGGGCUUGGAGCGCACCCUUUUAUCCCGGGUCCCGUCACCAACCGGGAUAAAAGGCCCCCCCUUUUAUCCCGGUUGGUGACGGGACCCGGGACAAAAGGGUGCCCCCGCCAGGUGGGGCUGGGAGCGUACCCUUUUAUCCCGGGUCCCGUCACCAACCGGGAUAAAAGGGGGGGCCUUUUAUCCCGGUUGCAGUUGGCAACCGGGAUAAAAGGGGGGCCUUUUGUCCCGGUUGCUGUUAGCACCCGAGACAAAAGGUCUUUUUUCCUAUUUUUCUUCUCCCGCCUGUUUUUUUAAAAUGAAUUUUAUUUUACCUUUUCACUGCAUUUCAGGAUGAAAAACAAAACCUUCACAGAUUUUGUACAUGCAAAAAUAUAUUUAAUUAACGAGUAAAUUGACAAUAAGUAUGAAGUAAUCAUUAAUUCUAUACCAACUCAUUUAACCUGUAAAAUAUUUAUUUUACUGCAUUGCUGUGAUCAAGAAAUUAUUCAAUUAAAUUAUUUGAAUGCGCAGAAAAAUCCAUGUUAGUAUGUGGUUAACAAUGUUCAUGUUUAUCUAAAAAAUCUUCACCUAACAAAUUUAAUAACACAUGAAAUCAUACAUAGGGUAAAUUACAAAUUGUAUCAAUUAAUACACAAAGGUCAUGUACAUUUAACGCAUUACAAUACAACGUUGUAAAAUUUCUUCUUCACGAAAGUUCCUUGAUCAUGAUCGCGGCGUAAGUACGGAGCCUCUUCUUUGGAUAGCAGGAUGCUUGGAUCAACUUCAACGGCGAAUGGAGGCAUGCCAUCAAACUGAUCAUAAUCAUCUGAUUGGUCUGUUUUAUCCUCGACUCCCACGAUUUUUCUUUUACCUGGAAGAACUAUGUGGCACUUUGGCUCCCAUGUCUCUUCUGGAUUUCUCUUGGGUUUGCUGCACAUGUCCUUCACAUAGAACACCUGAUGCACAUCAUUGGCAAGUACGAAUGGGUCAUCACUGUAUCCAGUCUUGCUCAGAUCUACUAUUGUCAUUCCGUACUGAUCUUUGGUGACGGCAGUUAGCUUCACCCAAUUGCAAAGAAAUAGAGGGAUGUACAGCGGUCCGUAUUCGAGUUCCCAUAUCUCCUGUAUGAAACCAUAAUACGACUCCUUGCUAUUAUUUAUGUCCAUGGCAUCUAUGCGGACACCACUAUUCUGGUUCGUGCUUUUCUGGUCCUGGGCUCUCGUGUAAAAUGUGUAACCAUUUAUCUCAUAGCCUUGGAAUUUGACGAUUGUGGUAGCAGGUCCCCUGGCUAACCAGGCAAGCUGUGGGUGAAUCUCAGAGUUACCCAUAAGUUGUUGGCGCAACCAGGAGGGAAAAGUUUCCAUGUGAUGACGGGUAAGCCAAGCAUCGGAUUUGGUCGGGUUUUUGGAAGCUACCAUCUGCCUGUGCUGCUCGAUAUACGGAGACACAAAGGAUGACUGUUGUAGAACAGUGUAGUGUGCCUUGUCGAACAAAUCAGUAUCAUUGCUCAAACUUGAUUUUCUUCCAAGGGUGCCCAUUCCUCGGAGCCUCCCCUCGUGGCGUGAAGUUGGAACCCCAAUCGAGUCAAUUGAAUCAAUAAAAUCAACACAAAACUCGAUCACCUCCUCUAUUCCAUAUCCCUUGGCGAUGCUUCCUUCUGGACGGGCACGAUUAAGAACAUAGUUUUUUAUGACUGCCAUGAACCUCUCGAAAGGUCACAUAUUGUGCAGGUAUACAGGUCCGAGAAUACCAAUCUCUUUUACUAGGUGAGCCAGUAAGUGCGUCAUAAUAUUGAAGAAGGAUGGUGGAAAUAACAACUCAAAACUGACAAGACAUUGCACCACAUCGUUCUGUAGCUUUGAUAGCUUGGAUGGAUCGAUUGCCUUCUGCGAAAUCGCAUUGAGAAACGCGCAUAGCUUUACGAGCGGCAACCGGACAUUUUCUGGUAGAACACCUCUCAGUGCAACCGGAAGCAACUGGGUCAUCAACAUGUGGCAGUCAUGAGCCUUGAGAUUUGUAACUUCUUUUGUUUCAUAUUUAUUAUUCCCUUUAUAUUCGAGGAGUACCCAGAUGCGACCUUCAUACUAUUCAAGCAUUCAAACAUGUUAUCCUUCUCUUCCUUGCUGAGAGUGUAACUGGCAGGACGUAAGUAGUGCUGUCCAUUAUCUCUCUUUUUCGGAUGUAGGUCAUCUCGUUGCCCCAUGGCUUUCAGGUCCUGUCGUGCUUCCAAUGUAUCUUUUGAGGUUCCAUAAACACCCAUGAAGCCUAGCACGUUCACGCAAAGAUUCUUCGUCAGGUGCAUCACGUCUAUUGCGUUGCGAACCUCUAGGAUUUCCCAAUAAGGUAGCUCCCAAAAUAUGGACUUUUUCUUCCACAUGGGUGCAUGUCCGUUAUCGUCGUUCGGAACAGGUUGGCUACCAAGUCCCUUUCCGAAGACUACAUAUACAUCCUUCAUCAUCUCGAACACACGCUUUCCAUUACGGUGUGCAGGUUUUUUACGAUGGUCUGGCGUCCCUUUGAAAUGCAUCCCGCUCUUUCUCAACUGGUGGUGAGCAGGGAGAAAUCGACGAUGACCCAUAUAGACGACCUUCUUAUAGUGCUUCAAGUACAUGCUGUCUGUGUCGUCUAAACAGUGGGUGCAUGCCCGAUAUCCCUUAUUUGUCUGUCCUGAAAGGUUACUCAAUGCAGGCCAAUCGUUGAUGGUUACGAACAACAGUGCUCGUAGAUUAAAGAUCUCUUGUCUAUCCUCAUCCCACACACGUACACCUUCUUCCUUCCAGAGCUGUAAAAGGUCAUCAACCAACGGCCUUAGGUACACGUCAAUGUAGUUGCCGGGUUGUUUUGGGCCUUGGAUAAGCGCCGGCAUCAUAAUGAACUUCCGCUUCAUGCACAGCCAAGGAGAAAGGUUGAACAUACAAAGGGUCACAGGCCAAGUACUAUGACCACUACUCAACUCACCGAAUGGAUUGAAUCCAUGAGUGCUUAAACCAAACCUUAUGUUCCUUGCUUCACUUUCAAAGUCUGGGAAUGUUCUAUCAAUUGAUCUCCACUGUGCCCCAUCUGUGGGGUGUCUCAGCAUCUCAUCUUCCUUACGGUCUUCUUUGUGCCAUCGCAUCAACUUAGCAUUCGCCUUGUUCCUGAACAAGCGCUUCAAGCGUGGUAUUAUAGGGAAAUACCACAUCACCUUCGCGGGAACUCUCUUCUUGGGAGACUGUCCCUCGACAUCACCAGGAUCAUCUCGCCUGAUCUUAUACCGCAGGGCUUCGCAGACGGGACAAGCAUCCAAUUUCUCGUAUUCAUCACCACGAUAGAGGAUACAGUCAUUAGGGCAUGCGUGUAUCUUCUGAACAUCCAAUCCGAGAGGGCAAAUAAUCUGUUUAGCUUCAUAUGUUGUGGACGGUAAUUCAUUAUUCUCGGGAAGAAUCUUCUUGACAAUGUUCAACAUCCCCUGAAAUGCCUUAUCGGACACACCAUUUUUUGCCUUCCAUUGCACAAAUUCUAGUGUCGUACCUAGUUUUUUAUGGCCCUGCUGGCAACCUGGGUACAACAUUUUUUGGUGAUCAUCUAUCAUGCGCUGCAACUUUGCUGCUUCCUUCUCAGUUUCGCAAUCUCUGUAUGCAUCUCGUAUCACCUGACCAAGGUCAUCAGUAGGGUCAUUUUCUGCAAACUCAUCUUCAUCAGCCUCGCCCAUUGUAGUACCUGCAAAAGCUUGGCCUGCAACCCAGUCCGGAAUGGUGUCAUCUUCCUCCUCCUCCUCGCCAUCUUCCAUUACAACCCCUAGUUCACCGUGCUUGGUCCAAACCAAAUAGUUAGGCAUGAAACCGUAUUUAAACAAGUGGCUGUGAAUAGUCCCACAGGAAUCCUUUGAAUACUCCUUCCUAUUAUUGCAUUGGAAGCAUGGACAACAUACGAACCCAUUCUCUGGCUUGUUCGCUUUUGCCACUUCGAGAAAAUAAUGCAAGCCAUCAAUAAACGCCUUGCUCCGCCUGUCUGCAGUAUACAUCCAUUGCCAGUCCAUCUGCAUCGUAUUACGCAUGAAAAUGGAUUACACUUGACAAUGGAUUACGCGUGAAAAUCGAUUAAAGAUCCAAACAACAUGGUACAAUACAACAACAUGAAGAUCCAAAUACACAUAUUUAAAUUAAAGUCCCAAACAACAUGAUACAAUACAACAAGCCAUCCACUAGUUAUUAUCACGGAGGACUUCUUCAUGACGUUGCUGCAAAUAACGAAGCAUUGCUUUUUCCAGCGCGCUCUUUUUCUUCGGCUUAUGCUGAGGGCCAACUAUGAUUGGAACCUUGCCAUAAUAGGAACCACGAUUGCCCCCACCAUCGCCACUUCCUUCAGUAGCAGAAGCCAUCUAUGUACAAAAAUUAUUAUCUUAACACUGCAUAAGUUGUUCAACUUGAAGACCGUGAUCAUCUCGCGAGGAUGUCCUCAACUGGGCGGCACCGCACUUCGUCAUUAAAGAGGUUAGAUGCUACGGAAAAGGGGACACGGUCACGAUGUCCGUAUCCACUCUUUCUCGUAGAAUCGAACCUCCUUCUUGACAUACGUUGCUGCUCGGCGGAGAACAUCCUCGGCGAGAUGAACACGGUAUGCAAGUUCAACAAGUAGCAGAAGUCAUCUAUGUACAAAAAUUCUUUCCUUACCACUACAGAAGUUGUUGAACUUGAAGACCGUGUUCAUUUCGCGAGGAUGUCCUCAGCUGGGCGGCACCGCACUUCGUCAUGAAAGAGGUUAGAUGCUACGGAAAAGGGGACACGGUCACGAUGUCCGUAUCCACUCUUUCUCGUAGAAUCGAACCUCCUUCUUGACAUACGUUGCUACUCGGCGGAGAACAUCAUCGCAGAAAUGAACACGGUAUGCAAGUUCAACAAGUAUAUGGAUUUAAAAAACCAUAUUGAAUUUGAUAAGAUAAACCGUCUAGACAAGGUAGCAUCAUUUUUAAACCACUGAAAUAAUGCAUACUAUAUAUGACACAUCAAUCUCCCUCACAUUCUAGCUCAAAAUACCUCUCCAUUUUUCUACUUCAUCAUCACAUUGUAGCAAAUAAUCUUUCCAUCUCCAAAGCAUAAAUCAAAGCAUAACAUGAGGAUGAAGUAGCAAACCUUCGCAGCACUUGUGUUGGCUGAGUCAAAUUCCCACGAAAAUGAGGGAAAAAACUUCGGGCAGCACCUCCCUUGCUUUGGCACCACCGGAGAGUAGGUGAAGCUCAGCUCUCUGUCAAUGUGCUGGACUGGCUCGGGCUGGAGGAAGAAGAAAGUCUCUGUCUCGGGAUAUAGUGGGGGAUGAGUUUUUAUCCCGGUUAAAAACUCCAACCGAGACAAAAGGAAACACCUUUUGUCCCGGUUGGAAGUUUAGUCCCGGUUGGAUCCUCCAACCGGGAUAAAAGGGUCCCGCCACCGACGCCCCCCAGCUAGCUGUUGCAACCAGGACUAAAGGGGGGCCUUUAGUCCCGGUUGCAAUUACCAACCGGGAGUAAUGCUCCCCUCCAAUUUUCCCCACCCCGGCGCACCCCCUUUUGUCCCGGGCCAACUUUAAACCGGGACAAAAGGGGUCGGAUCGAAAGCCAAUUCUCUACUAGUGAUAAUUACACUAAGCAAACAAAGGUUGUACCGAUUGUUUUUUUUUUUUUUUUUGCACUCAGCAAAUAAAGGCUUUGCCAAGUGUUUUUUUUCACUGGACAACAAAAAAAAUUUCUGAAAAAGAAUGAGAAGAAAAAAAUUGAAAAAAUAUUUUGCCAAGUGCCUCGAUCCGGGACACUCGACAAACAAAAAAAUAUCUGCUUAGACCGAGCUCCCCACCCCUUAUCCCUUCCUCCACACCCGACCCCAGGCCCCUCCACGGCACGCCCCCUCCUCUAGCGUCCUCUCCCCUUCCUCCGCACGCACCCGCCCCCAGCGCCCCAUCCUCUUCCUCCGCACGCCCAGCGCCCCCUCCCCUUGCCGGCCGGCACCCCUCCCCCUCUUCUCCCUCUCUCUUCGCCGGUGGCAACCGUCCCCUCCUCUCCCUCUUUUCCCUGGAUCCGACGCCCCCUCGCCGAAUCUAGCGCCGCCUCCCCAGAUCUAGCGGUGGGAGGCAGCUCGGGCGUGGCCGGUGGUGGCGUGGCGUGGUGGUGGCCGGUGGUGGUGGUGUAGUGGUGGCUAGUGGUGGCCGGUAGUGGUGGUGUGGUGGUGGCCGGUGGUGUGGUGGUAGGCGGCUGUGGCGUGGUGGUGGCCGGUGGUGGUGGUGUGGUGGUGGCUAGUGGUGGCCGGUGGUGGUGGUGACUGGUGGCGGCGGCCGUGAAGCCGGGGAGUGGAGGCGAGAUGGAGGGCAUGAUGCCGGGGAGCGGAGGCUGGUGGCCACGACGCAGGGGAAGGACGGCGGCCGACGGAGACCGGCUGGUGCUGGAUUGUUUUUUUUUUUUUGAAAAAAAUGUUUGCUGAGUGCUUUUUGGGCACUCGGUAAAAGUCUUUGCCGAGUGUCCAACAAAAAACACUCGACAAAUCUAUUUGCCGUUAAAUAUUUCCCUGAGUUUCGUUGCGGAGCAGCAAACACGUUGCCAAGUGUUUUUUGGCCUGGCACUCGGCAAAGCCCUUGGCUCCCGUAGUGAACAUCCCUAAGUUACCAACAAUGACUACAUCUCGUGUGAGAUACAGGAGAUUAAUUGCUGCUUAGGAGUUCCGAAAAGACUAAAUUUGGACAGGCCAAGAAUAAUUGUAAUGGGACAACAAAAAGAGAGAAAGAAAAGGAGCAAAAGGCAUGUGACACAGCAAGGUCUUUCUCUAUCAACGUACGGUAGCUUUGAAGGAGAAAUCCAUGCACGCCACCAGCUGUAGUUGGAAGCCAUGCCCUUCCUUUUUAGGGUAUAGUAGCUACUGGUGAGUGGAAGGAGAGAUGCGUGCUUAUCAUCAGAGCUACCCGUGUGUCCUUGUCACGAAAGAACCUUGUGCUCAGACCUCAGAACAAGGAAAUGUUGAGCUCCAUCGCGGCACGACGGCACAUAUACAUGAACCAGCUUGCAUCCACGAAAUGGCCUGAGGUACAUGCUGGAUCAUGUAUCUCGAUUAUUUGGUUUUCAGAAGGGCUUUGUUUGGCGUACGACAUGAGAAACACAGGCCCCAUGAAUAAUGGAGGCUGCCAGGGGAAUCUCUCGUUAGGGAGCUCCAUGCCUCCAUCCCUAUGUUUCAAAACACAAACCUCAGAAAAUUAAUUAGCCUACGCCGGUACUUCGAGAAAUAAAACAUACUGCUGAAAUAAAAAAAGGGCUGGAACAAUUUUCAAAACAAGAAAUAAGAUUUUAAAAAUAUGUUGUAAACAUGAAGAUAUUAACCGAUAAUAUAGUUUCAAUCACGCUCUAGGUGAGCUUCAAAGUUUGAAGGGCAAGUUUUGAAGCAGCUUUCACAUUCACAUAAUUUUUAGGUCAGUUUCAUUAGUUAAAAGCAUUUUCUACGUAAUUUAAUUGCAAGAACUUUUUAUUAAUUAAUUUUUUUGUGAAGCGUUUUCUCUAACUUUUAUGCAAAACAAGAUUGCAGUUAUUGUAACAUCCAAUAUUAUUAUAAUAUGGAAUGUGAUAACGAGCAAAAUCUAACAUUCAUACAUUUUUGUUUGAAUUAUGCGGAACAUGUUUUGAAGCCUAAUUGGAUUAAAAAGCCUAGGUAUUAUUUAGGUACUCUCUCCGCUCCAAAUUUUAAGUUAUUUUGAUAUUUCUAGAUAAAUAAUUUUACUAUAUAUCUAAAUAUAAUGUAUAUUUAAAUGCAUAAUAAAAAGUUAUGUACUUAGAAAAGAAAAGGAUGACUUACAAUCCGGAAGGAAGGAGCAUUUUAGUAAAGUAUUUUCUGCAAUUAUAAAAUUAAGCAUACAAAUGCAUUAGUGAUUCGGAGUUCACCUGCUUUUCUUGGAUUUCUAGAGCCUUGACUUAAAUUUGAAUUCAUGUGGUAUUCAUAUCAUUUGUUCUAAUACCCCCGUGUAUAUUGGCAUAUGGUCAUCAUAUUCCACACCAUGUCUUUUGAUCAAUGUGCUUAUUAAUUUUUAAUUAAGGGACUUAAGAUUUUUUGCCAUGCCAUCACUCAAAGAAAGGAAAUAAGGAAUCGGAUGAAAAGAAAUAUCGAUAGAUAGCCUAGCAUGUAGGGUAUGUGUUAUCUUCUGUUCUGUCAGGGUAGUGUGCUACUCGGAAUCCCAAAAAGAUGAGAGAUACAUCAGGCAAAAGAAAAGAGAAAAGCUGGACUUGAAACUCAAGAACGCGACGUAAAUAUCAGGAAGCAGCAGGGGUAUUUUGGCCACCAACGACGCUAAUAAAAGGCACCCCGUGCCUGCACCGCUGCUGUGCUGCAUGCUCCCGAAGCCUACUCAUGAGCAAACCUUCAAAGUAGGGCAACGAUCGAUCAGCACUGCUCCACUCCACUGCUGUCCGUCUCGGCUUCUUAUCUGUGCUGGGGCGCUCCACCAAUCCUUGCCACGCCCUGCCACCAUCUGGUGAGUGCCUUCUUGUUGAUUGAUGCAUUACUGACUCGAAUGUGUGCGUAGAAGAUAUACAUCUAGGAGUUGAUGUUGAUGCUGAACUAGGGUAGAUCGGAGUUCUUCUAGGCCAAAUUUUUUACUCUUGACUUCUAGGCCUUCUUGUUCAUUGCUGAACUAGCGUGGGUCUUGGAUGUGCAGCAGUGUACGUCUUAUGGUUAGCAGAAUCUUACUGGACACUUGAAGUUCAUGAGUUAGGCUAUGAAGAAACAAAGCUAGUUUGCCUGCCCGUGGUUUUGUUCUGCCGAUAUGAGAACAAGCUUUUGAUGAGUUCAUGCCUUCAUCGCUAAGAGCUACUACUGCUAGUGCUUGGUGGCACCGUCGUGGUAGUGGGGUUGCAUUAAUUAUAUACUUACAGAAAUUCUAUCCCGUUCCCCAUGCAUGUUUUAGGUACCUUGUACUUGAACUUUUUUCCUCUUGUUAUUCUUCCUUUCCUUUGGCCUGUUUUACCUGUGUCUUGCAAGCAUCUAAUUAAGAGGGAGACAAAAACUCAUGUGUCUUCAAGAUAUCUAACACAUGGUUUUUUGUUCCUAAUUGCACAGUUAAUUUUAUUUGAAUUACAGUUGCUCUGUAUUAAAGAUAUAUUAAUUUUUAAUUUGAUUUUUAACUAGCACAUGAAUUUGACUAAUAAACUAGCUAGUAAUGGAAACAAAGACCUGAGUGAACAAGGACUUUCGUGUUCACUGUGAUGUUCACAACCCAUGGAAGAAGUAACCAUCCAUGCAUGUCAACAAUGCACGAUCUAGAAAAUUAUCAAACAUGGCUUUACCUAAAGAAGAAUCUAAUAUUACAAAGAUUUGUCCUGCAGCUGCAUGUUAGAUGGCGUUCGGAGGCAUCACUGCUGUUUUCUGGCUCCUCGUCCUCACCCAAGUUCAUGGCGGGGCUUCCCUUUCCUCUGGAACAGCAGACGGCAUGGAACGCUGGGGCUACGUGGAAGUCCGGCCAAGUAACCCACUGCACACAGUGACACAAUUGACUUACUUUUGAUGUCAUUUCUAUAACUCGCCUCUCGUUCGCCGUUUUCCAGAAGCGCACAUAUUCUGGUGGUACAUCCAGAGCCUGCAGCGGGUGCCAUCGCCCAUGAAACCAUGGCCAACUAUCCUCUGGCUUCAAGGCGGCCCAGUAUGUAUUCCUGUAUUCGACCUCUCACUGCAAAUGCAAAGCCUGAAACUCGGCUGACCUUUUCUUCUCCGGGACAAAAUUUUAGAGAUGUUUGGAAAAAUUCCACUUCAGACAAAUUAGCUUCACUCUACCAACUCCAAAAAAUUCGCAGUCAAAUACGUCUAACUUCACCAACUCUAGCUCCAGAAAAAAAAAAGGUGAAACUAGAGGUUAGAUCUACAUAUUUUGUGGAGUAUCUCAAAAGGUGCUCCAAAAACUACAGUUUCGGACCUCCUCGUGGAGUUGUUGGGUACCCACCAUACCACUUAUUACACAUAUACCGCUUCACAAAACAAAACAAGAUACGGCUGUUCUCCCGUCGCCCCCUCCCAUCCUCCCAACACCCCCUCCUCAAACUAGUGCCGCCGCCUGUGGAUUGGGCGCCAUCGGCCCCAAUCUCCAGCGAAAAUGGAUGUGGGUGCCACCUCUGCGCCCCAUGCCACUCCAGGGCUGCAGGCUGCGGGGCCUCGCAGGCGGCAGGCCCCAAUCUCUAGUGAAAAUGGCUGCAGCCGCUCCGCCUCCUUGUCAUGGAGGGGGAUGAGGUGGCGGACCUCGCUGCCGGGGCUCGCGCUCGCCCAGCAGGGGAACUCCUGCUGGGGAGGCCGCACCCCGCCGCUCCCGCAUAGGAGAGCUCGGCCGGGGGGGGCACACGCCACCAAUUCCGGCCGGGGACGCAGCUCGCCCCCGGGUGCCGUGCACCGCCGCUCUCGGUGAGGGGUAGGAGCUCGCCACAGCCUGCGCACGUGAGAGCUAGAGCUCGCCCCGUCACCUUUGAGCAAACACGCUCGGGUCGCUGAGAUGCUGCCCCUACGCUGGAUCUGAGGUAGAGGUGUGGGGGAUGGAGUGGCAUGAGGUGGAUGGAGAGAGAGGGAGUGGUGUGAGGUUAACUCCAACGCUGAGGUAGAUGAGUUCUAUGAGGAGCUGAUGCUUCCGUCACUAGCGCCGCCUAUUCGCGUUGUGUGUGCGCCGAGCCAUGUCGGUGUCAUGCAUCCGGACAGCCGCCACUACCAGGGUCAGGCCACGAUUCGCGUGCACUCUCUGGGCGCAGGCGCUGGUGGAGCCAGAGUGCCGGACGUGCCCGCUGGCGACAAGGGGCGGCGACUGGUGAUGGAGGCGGUCGUGGCAAGCAGGACGGUGCCCCGCACGGCCGCCAUCGUAGAGGGGAUGGUGUUGUACAUGCCGCCGCCGAUGCUGCAUGGGCUAGACAAGGAGGUGAAGCUAGAGUCCGCAAGGCAAGCGCAAACAAGGAAGAGAGGAGAGACUGAUACGUGGGAUCAUUUACAAAGGGUAAAAUAGACAAUUCACAAUAAGUCCUCAGGUUUCUGAAGUUGGAACACUGCAACCAGCCAAACACGUACAACAACUCCAUAUUUUUACGGAGUUGGUGGAGUAGAGCUACAAAAGGAUAGAGUUGAUGGAGUGGAGGUGUGUUUUUAGUAGAGUGUUGCCAAACACCCCCUUAAUAGUAUGGUUUGUGUGUUCUUCUGAAUCAGGGACAAUCGGGUAUAGGGCUGGGUAACUUCGCAGAGAUUGGGCCUCUUGACGUCGACCUCAACCCACGCAAUUUGACGUGGUUGCAGAAGGCCGAUCUCAUUUUUGUGGUACGUCAUGGAGACCUCGCCAUUUCUUCCUCCUCCUAUGGUUGCUAUUCCUGAGCUGAUGUAUGUGUGACGAUGAUGGCGCGCGGCAGGAGAACCCGGUCGGUGUCGGAUUCAGCUACGUGGACGACCUAAGCGCGCUGGCGAAGACCGACUUGCAGGCGGCCAAGGACUUGACUGAGCUCCUAAAGGAGCUCGCCAAGGAGAUACCCACACUACAGAGUAGCCCUCUGUUCCUAGUCGGCGAGUCCUAUGGCGGCAAGCUCGCUGCUAAGGCCGGCGUCUUGGUUGCAAGGGCCAUCCGCGCUGGCACUCUCGAGCUCACGCUUGGAGGUUAGUAAACACUGAUUCUCAUUGCUCAUGGAUCAUUCCUCUACCUGGACAUUACGAUUCGAUCUGAAUUAAUCUAUUUUCUUCCCCGGCUGGCGUUUUUCCACAGGUGUUGUGCUCGGUGAUAGCUGGAUAUCGCCGGACGAUUAUGCGGUGAGGAAAUAACUUCUUUCGAUCCAUCACAUGAAUUUUGAUAAUUCUGACGAAAUCGUUUUCUUGAUGCCUGCAGCUGUCGUAUCCCUGGCUUCUGGAGGGCGUCUCCAGGCUGGAUGACAACGCCGUGGGCAAGGGCAUCAUGUAAGCUAGCUAUUGCCGGCAGCCUAAUCGAUCGAUCUACUGAUGAUGUUAACUGAAACUGGGCUUAUCUCAGGAUGGCUGUGAAGGUGAAGCAGCAGAUGGCGGCGGGACAGUUCGUGGCAGCUUAUACCACGUGGGUUAAUUUGCUCGAUAUGAUCGACUCCAGGAGCGGCAGCGUUGUAAGUGUCGAUCACAAUCAGUGGCCACUAAGUCUUAGCAACACGUUCCUAUUACAACUGCAGAAAAGAGCAGGGUGGCUUGGCACACACUAAUGAAGGCUCCCUUAAUGACUUUGGCAGAAUAUGGAGAACUUCAUGCUUGAUACCACCGUGAGCUCGGUGUUAUCAGACUCAGCCGCACGACCAUUGUUGUCACCAGGCAACUGCCAGGCGGCUAACAAUGGUUCCAACAAGGUCAGCGACACUGUAAACGGGUUCCUCAAGCAAAAGUUUAAGAUAAUCCCCAAAGAUUUCAUGUGAGUGGUUCUCCUCUUACAUGCCACAAUCUUAGAUGAAAACAUUGUACAUUGAUCAAUCUCUUUGUCUCCCUGUUCAAAUCGUCCUCUGAUCAACUCUGUCUCUGUGCAGCUGGCAACAAGUGUCUCUGCAGGUGUUUGACGCUCUGGCCAACGACUUCAUGAAGCCAGCGAUCAAUGAGGCAAGAAAACAAAUUAUUGACUCUACUUGAUUUGCUGAAUUUUGAGUUUCAUAAUGGGGAUGAAUCUGCUGCAGGUUGAUGAGCUGCUGUCCUAUGGAGUGAACGUGACGGUGUACAACGGACAGGUGAGGGGCAAAGACAUUAUCCAACGAUUCCUCAAGAUUUUUUACUUGGACAUUUUUUAGAGAAUGUUAUGGUUUAUAGAUACCUGACAAAUUCCAUCUCUUCAACUCUUAUAUAGCGUAUAUACUCAAACUGCUAACUACUCACAUAUUUCUUUCUUUUGAAGUACGAUGUGAUCUGCUCAACACUCGGCGCAGAAGCAUGGGUGAAGAGGCUCAAGUGAGGCUUCAUCUUCACAUUUAUGCUUCUUUCAUGCAUAAUUCAGCCACAUAAUUCUCACUUGACCUGCAUUUCAGGUGGGAUGGGCUGCAUAACUUCUUGAGCCUGCCGAGGAAGCCUCUGCAUUACUGCCACCCUUACUAUCUCACUAACGGCUUUGUCCGAUCAUACAAGAACCUGCAUUUCUAUUGGAUCCUCGGAGCUGGACACACGGUAUGUCUCCUUAUUAUCCACAUGACAAUAUCUGAAGCCAAAGCUGAAGACCUUGUGCCAUUUGUUCUUCAGGUUCCUGUGGACAGGCCUUGUACUGCACUGUACAUGAUCAGCAGCAUAGUGCAGUCUCCAGCCAAUUAAGUUGGUUAGGCAAAUUAGUAUCCAUUAUUUGUGUUGCUGCACAAACCAGUAUUAGUAUACUAAUGGUACACUUCAUAUAUUAUCCUUGAAUUCCAUCCACAUGAGUUUCUCAUCUUUGCCGAAAAAAUCAAUAGGUUUAACCCAAAUAGCGAACAUGAGCCUAUCGUUGGCAGACUACUCCAUGUACUAUUGAUGGAAUUCGUACAUAUUCGUGGAGAGCUUCCGUACUAAUUCAGGCCUUGCCUACCUCAAAGGGUCAUUUAGGUACAAAUGGCACUGGAGCUAGCGGUUCAGCUUACCCUAGAACUUCAGCCAGCGACAUACAUCCAAUGACUUGGAUUUGUUGUUCUAAGGUCAUUGCUAUUAUAGUUUGAGCGUCUUUAUCUACUUGGUCCCUGAGCUGGCGGACAGUGCGACUGGAAGACAACGCUCCUCGAUAUUUUUCCUUCUGAUUAUACAUAACUAACGAACACUCAUAGUUCAAUAAUACAAUCCUCUUUACUUCUUUUGACAUGAAAAUUAAAAAAUUUAAUUUCGUUGGAUUGGCUCAAUCUCCUUUGCUUUACUUUGUUCAGCGCAUGAUUUGAAGAAUUCAUUCACCGUUACUUGCGAUAACUCCUGCAAUUCCUCAGUAAUCAUACCGGUAGCUUGUGAAUGGGUUCAGAGUUAUUUGUUUUCUUAACAGUUGUUUCGCCUUUAGCUGCCUUGACUUGGAAGGCAGUGGUCGUUGCGGGGCUUAGUCCCGACGAUGGUGAUAGGGAAGGGGUGUUGUGGUUAUCGUCGCUCGUACCACCAGGAUUCGAUGGAUAUGGAGAUGGUGAUCAAGCAAGAUGCGACAGUCCCGGUGGUGACGACAGUCCUGAAGGUGGAUGUGCUGGAGAUGAUGGUCUUGGGUUUUGAGGAGAUGGUCGCUGCGGGUAAUCUACGGGGAGCAAUGAUGCCUCCUUAGCAGCGAUGAUGGUGUUGCGUUUGCACCAUAAAAUGAUCCCGUGAAAUGCAUUGCCUAGUAUCCUUUCCCUGUAACCUCCCGGGAGGUCAAGCUCUAGGUCUUCAUAUUGACUAUCACAAAUCUGCUCUAGGUCAACACUGAAGUAGUCAAGUGGAAUCUUCAUGCCAUAACUUGUAUGCACUGACAGGAUUGGUAAAACACUCUCGUACGCCACCUAUAUAUAUAGGUCUCCGCUAUUCAGUACCCAAAGUAUAGAAUAGCUUAUUCCGUGCCCGAGGCUCGUUCCCCUCCCGGUACACACACGAGCGCAGACCAGCCGUCCGUUUUUUUUUUUUUUACGGGAGAGGGAACCCCGCAGAUCGGCGGUCGCGAAAUUGGCGGACGGGAAGGCCGCGGCCAAGCGCGCCAUGGAGACCCUCGUCGCGAACGGAUGCACCAACAUUCGUGGCGGCCGGCUUAGUAACGCCGUCGCCUGUGUCAUCCUCCUCUCGGACGGCCAGGACAACAACAGCGGCAGCGGCGGCUUCUUCCACGGCCCUCGUAGCUUCCGCGCAACCAGCCACGACGUCCUCGUGCCGCCGUCCUUCAUGCGCGCCGGUGCAAGUGUCACGACCACGACGCGGCGGCCAUGCACGGCAUUUCGGAGGUCACGGGUGGCACAUUCUCCCUCAUCGAGAACCACACGGCGAUCCAAGACGUGUUCGCGCAGUGUGUCAGUGGGCUCCUCUCCAUCACCGUACAGAGGGCGCGCGUCUCCGUCGAGUGCCUGCACCCCGGCGUGCGCCUCCGCGCGAUCAAGUCCGGCCGCUACGAGAUCCACGUCGAUGCGGACGGCCGCACCGCCACGGUGGCUGUCGGCGAGCUCUACGUCGAUGAGGAGCGGCGCUUGCUCCUAUUCCUCGACGUGCCUAGAGCCGGCGCCACCGAAUUAGCAGAGACAACAAGAGCUGGUUUCGAGACUCCGACCUGGAGGACAGCUCGCCAAGAUGGAAGAAGUGCAGGGCCAUAUUUGUUUUAGCUAACUCGCUUUAGCUAACACCAAGUGAAAUAAAAUAUAACUCUUAUUUGUUUUUUCCACGUCUUGGCACAUCUUAGCUAACACAUCUUGGCACUAGUCUUAAAAACAAGCACUUUAUAAUUUGAAUACAAAUAUUUCGUGACAGACAUGUUAUUAAAUACAACCUAUUGCUAUUUGAAUACAAUGAUUUUGUGAUUGCCAGCUCAUAUUGAAAUUAUUGUGACAUGACAUGUCCAACAUAUAAGAACCUUCACUGGGAAAAUUUUAAGUAUUCAACAGUUGAAGGUUGCAAAAUCAAAGUGCCCACGAGCAUGACAGAACAAGAUUGCAUUGUACUGGGAAGGACUCCAGGAGGGUGCUCCACAGUCCACACGUCGAAGAGGAGGAUGGCAUAGGACCUGGUAGCGAAGCCUCGGCAGGUCGACAUAUUACCCAAGAUGGAUGUAGAUAAAGAUAAGGACGAGCUUUUCUUGACUUGCUGGCAUGCUUGCUCAUAUCCUCCAUCAGGCACGAGUACUUACAUCUAAGAUGCAGCAGCACAUGUGCACCCAAAUAAAAUCUGAAAAAGAAAAGCAUAUAAAAUAAUCAAAAACUCCAUUGAGGAUUAGUCAGACUUGUGAUACUGAACAAGUAGAUUAUUUUAAAGCAUAAUGCUUAGCAGAAAGAUAUAUGUACGACUGCAUAUAAGAUGGUCCAUUUGACAUAACGAAAUUAGAAAAGUUUCGGAUAUCAGAAAGGUUUAUGAAUCAUUGUGACAUAUAGUGACAACUUGCUAACCUAAACUAAAAAUGGAGCAGACAUGCAUUUCCACAUACGAAUCUUACAGCUGAAAAUGGAGUAAGUAAAAAAUCAAUCCUACUUUAUAUUAUCCAUUGUCCAUUUUGCACUUCAACUGGUCGGAAACACAAAACAGAGCAUCAAGAACACCAGAUCAAAAAAUCCAUAAUGUUCUUCCUGGAAAGCAAACAUUAGUGCUUCUAGUUCAAAAUAAAGCUUUGUGUGCUUCUAAUAGCAUAUUUUCUGAUUAGCACCUCAAAUUAAAAAUUAGAGCAAAAUGAUCGAUCGUCUCUAAAAAUGACAGGAGCGUGGAUGUGCAUUACACCAAGGUUGCAUAUAACGAUGUCACAUGUGGAUAGAAAAGUUUCUAUGAUUGUGUAAUUGUAAAUAAUGAAAUAUAGGUGCAGAAACCUUGCUACAUUCCAAUUGAAGUGAGUGAAUCGUUGCAACUGAAAUAAACUCGCCACAAGUGGUGUCAUGUCUGACUCUAAGAAUAAAAAUUCAAUUAUAUGCAAAAAGCUUAUCCUGCAAACAUUCAGGGUAUCAUAUAGUGAUGACGAUAGAAAACAAUUAGGUGUAUAUAUAUUUUUUCUUUUGAGGAAGAAUUAGGUGUAUAUCUUUGAUACAACUUGUACAUCAAAAGUGAUACCUAAUCAGUUUCAGUUGAACUAAUCACAAAUAAAAAUCAACCAUGUCUGGAUUUCCGAUCGUAAUCUGACCAUGCACAUACAACUGGUUCAGUCCAUUUAGAUGCGAAGCUAAAAAGCCUCGACUAGAGAAAUACAUAUGAAAGGCAAUCUACCUGCAAAAUCCCUCAAACAGCAAUGUAGCUGCCACUGAAGCAAAGUAUCAACACUCUGAACUAGUAAUCAAUAAAAACUAUUAAUCCCCAAAAACAAUGGAUUCACAGGUUCCACAACCUCAGGCCAUGGCACGUCCAAUAAAAAUUUAGUACCAUGGUUAUGCAAGAUGGAUCACAUACUAAAAAAUAGGAUAUUGAUAUAAUUUGAAGAUAUACUAAUUACUAGUUUACUGGAUUAGUCUCAAAUUGUGGAUUUUUCAUCCACCGACACACGUUAGAAUCAAUCAACCACUAUGAUCAGGCAACCUGUAAGAUAAACAAGGCAUAUUGAUCAGGCAAACAAGUAUCAUGAACCACAAUGGUUAGAAGAUAAAAGCUUCUGAAUAUUUGAAAUUAUUUGCAAAGUAUAUCAAUCCAAAUAUAUUAACUCAUACAAGCUUAGGCAAUCAACCCAACCAGAUUCUUCUGGUCAUGACAGGGGGAAAAACUCAUGGCAACAACUGCUGGAUGUACAUAAACAUUAAGGAUGGGAUUGAUCAAUGCUUCUCUAUAGCACUGAACCCUGGAAUUGAGCUCAAUGAGAUGUAUAUCUUUGAUUUAACAUGUGUAAAAAAAUUGAUAAAUCCUAAUUAGUUUCAGUUGGCACUAAACGCAAAUCAAAAUCAACCACAUCUCGAUUCCACUCAUAAUCUGACCAUGCACAUACUACCAAUCCAGUCCAUUUAGAUGCAAAAGCUAGGAAGCCUCCACUACUGAAAUAGAUGUAUACAUGUAAUUUGUAUAUUACAGGGAGAUUUCAUCAGAGCAUUACAAUUGAAGUAGCUACUUAGCUAGGAUGUACACAGGUGUAAAAAACAGACUAGGCAGCACAUCUAGGUUGUAUCAAUUGCAGUAUCAUAGAACAUCAAAUUUUUAUCAAUCAGCCGAAGCCAGAGAAAUAAAGGUUUCAAACAAAAUACCUGGUCCAGCUCAAUUGACACUUGCAGGUCAUAGAAACAAGAAUCCCAUCAUCUGGGUAACAAUACAAGCUUUGGCGCACCCACCCACGGUGCACGUUAUCAAGGGAGCAAUCUAUAUUUAUGAAGCUGAUUCAAGCUAAGAAAUGAAGGAUUUGGUUGGAUUCAUAUGAGAGGACCCUGAAAUUCAUACAAUGACUAAUGGGAAGAAAUGAUAAGCGCCUUCAGUUAGGAAUCAAGCUUUUCUCAGCCUCCUUUAGCCUUCUUUCUGAUUAGUACAUCAAAUUUGGAAUUUGCGAAAAAUGAUUGGCAAUCCUAAAGACACAUGAACAGGUGCAUGGAUAUCACCUCCCCUGAACUCAUGGGAUAAAUGAAUUAUCAUCAGCACCGUGCACCAUAUAAUCUCAACUGCUGAGGGAAUUAAUCCAGCUUCUCCGUAUAGCAUAACCAGAAAAAACAGCCUUGCCAUUAACAAAUAGUUAUAUCAUACCAGAUUUUUUAUUGGUUAACAAUUAACUAUAUCCUACCAGCAUUCCCACUGUCAAAGGUGAAUUUAAUUAGAGGUAGUAGUCACAAACAAAAUCUAUAAAACAAUAUGGUUCAGAAGUCGGAAGGGGCAAGGAGUCAUAAAAAUACAAGAACAAUUUUUGUUCCUACUAGGAAGAUCUGAACUCAAUCAGGGGGGGUAUCGUACUUGACCUCUUUUAUUAAACUGUCAACUAAAAUUGAUAGUUAAGGGAAAAUCGAUAGAAUAUAAUCAGUUCAAAGUACAUGAGCAUGAGUAGAGCAUCCACAGUGUUUUGAGUACGUCAAGAUCACAAUUCCGUGCUCACAGUUGCCAUUGCCAGAGCUGUCAAGGACAAGGGAUUUAUACAAAACAGAGUACAAUACUACAAUGUAUUUCAAAUAACAAAAGUUAAUUACAGAUCAUAUUAAUCAGGAAUUAUCUCAUGUUUUUGCAAGUAUGUGCUGCGGGAAUUCGAGGACGGAGGGGGAAAUAGGAGGAACUGAGCAAUUUGGAGCAUGGGGUUGUGAUUUGUAGAGGAUACGGGCAGCUAAUUGGACAAUCUUGGUCCAUGUAAGACCUAGCUGCGACAGAGAGGAACAGGGUAAGAGAAUGAGCAGUUUAGGGAUCUCACCAAUGAAAAAACGCCCGAUGAGGAGAUCGUAGCAGGGAGCUACCGUACCUGCCAUCACUGGAUCCGCACGAGUGGACCUGCAUGGAACAACGCACGUGAACUAGGGAGCUCCGGAUGCCUGUCGAUCAGCACUGGUCUUGAUCUGGUGUACCAAUCCCUGUCGUGGCCAACCGACCGGCUUCCGGUGAAACCCUUACCAAAGGCUCCCUCCCCUCAUACUGACGGAAUCACGGAAGUACCGGAAAACAUCCUGAGAUAGGCCAACCGACACAGCCGGAGCCCGAGAUAGUAGUGGCUCUCCCGGCUCCUCCCCCAACUUGCUAUUACCGAACUGCCCAUCAAUUUGGUGAAAAUCACACCAAAAAUUGCCACCCAAAGUCGUGAGUCGCGUCGUACCUGAAGGUUGGAGGCUUGCCGGCAGCUGGGACUCGCCGUCCCUUUCCAUGGCUAGAGCGAGAGCGCCGCCAUCGAUCGACCUGGCUUGGAGCGAUAGGGGAGCAGCUGCGGCCUGUGGGAGCUGCCACAGCACGGCAUGGGGAAACGCCGCGACGAGACCAGCGCGGAGAGACGCAGCGCGGCGACGAAGGAGGCGAGGCGAUGCAGCGGGCCAAGAGCGGAGCCGUCAUAUGGAGAACCCGCCAGGCAAGUGGAUAAGGAGAGACGAGCGGCACCGUUGACGACCGGCAGUAAAAAGGUAGGAAAGUGCGUAUCUUUUCAAAAGAAAAGUUGGAAAAAAAAAGAAAAAAAUAAGAAGAAAGGAGGUAUAAAUGGAAAAUAGAAAAAGAGGUUAAUCUAUAAUUUGUAUUUCAUUAAUUUUUUCAUUCCUAUAUGAAAUCACAUUGCAAAUUGAAUGGAAAAUAAUUAAAACUCAUAUGUAUAACCAAAUCAAAUAGGGCAAGGGUAAAUUGGACAUUUGGCCUAUUUCAUCCAUUCAUGAAAAAUAAGAGGAGCCAUUUUACCAAAUAUUUUUUUCAAACGGAUUAAGAAAAAAAACUGCUCCACCAGAGAAACCAUAGCUGGAGUCGUUUCAGCUAUAGACGGAGCCCUACCAAACGAGCCCUGCAAUUAGGCACAGUGACGAUGUGCUCCUCCCUUGCAAUCGUUGAGCAACCAACCACUUUCCUUCUGACGCGUAGGUGAGAUCACACCCUACUAGAAACAUGACAUUCAUUCUUAACGUUAGUACGGACGACUUUUCAUCCGGUAUUAACACACGCGAAAUUAGUGCUGGGUAGAAAUUUUCAAUCCUCGAAGGCCUUUUAGUAUCGUGUAAUAUUAUUGCCCGGUAAUAAAAGGCCUAAACCAUUCAGUAUCGUGCAGUAACACCAGUACUCCAUGGAGUACCAUUUAGUACCAAUCAAUAACACCAUUUUAGUAGCGGGCAGUGUUAUUGCCCGGUACUUUCAAAAGAAAAGCAUAUCUAACUUAAUCACAUGUGCUGUGUGUCGGUGUUUUAACCCGGCAACCUACCAAGGGAGUACUUGAGGUAGAGUUUUGGUUGGUGGGUGUCGCCGAAAUUAAGAGCUCGAUGGUGAUGUAGGUAUACGAUUUAGACAGGUUCGGGUCGCUAGAUCGCGUAAUACCCUACGUCAUAUGUGUUGUAUACUCGUAUUGGAUUGAACUUGUUUUGAGGGGCUCCCUACCCGCCCUUAUAUAUUGGGGAAGCAAGAUUACAGGGUAGUUGUCGUAUAGGAGUACUAGUCGAAUUCGAUUAGAGAGUUCUACUCUAACUCGGAAGAGUAGUUUCCAUAUCUUCGACUAGUCUUCAGGGAUCCAUGUAAACUACGCCACCCUGUAUCGUAGUCUCCAUAUCUUGAUACGUUUUGGUGUACUUCUCCUUGGCUGGAUCCGUAUAGGUUUUCUAGUGGUCCCAUAGGUGUAUGGCCGACAAACCUUUGAGUACUUCGUAGUCAAAUGUAGCAGCCGCGAGUACUUUGCAGACGUGCUUGACUAGUUUCUAGUGCUCUUUGAGUACUUCAGUGGUAGCUAAGUCUUCGAGUACUUGUGUACUGUCAUGCGGCUAGAAGGUACUCUAGCUGACAUUUGUUUUUGGAGUAGUCUUGUCUCGAAAUCUUUAUACGGAAGUGCGAUGAAAAUCACACUUCAUAUGGAGUAGCCCCUGAGCCUUAGGUUGAAUUGAAGAAUCAGGUUGAGGAUCAAUCUGCAAUUGUUCCAUCUUCAUCUUUAUCUUGAAGAAAAAGAAAAAUUUAUCCAACAGACACGGUAUACGUAGCCUCCGAGCCGGUACACGACUAGUUCCAGGAGGUAUAAGGAUCUUAUCAACCAUGGCCGUUGAGUCUUUAUCAAGUUGGAAAGAAACUGACUUCCCGUGGAUAGGCUCGAAAAUUUUGCUGUUUGUUCGGGAAUACCGUGUUGUUGUUCCGGUAAUUUUGUCUCUGUUAUAAAAGUUGGGGGAAAGUUACCCCCCGACUCUUAAGCUUUCAUUCGCAUCUACUAUUUGCUCUAGCCAACAAACCCUAGCCCCCAGCGUUGUCGCCAUCGCGCCUUAGGUUGCCAGCGCCACCACCGUUCUGCUCUAUCAUGGCCACCUCCGCUCGUCCUCCAAACCAAAACUGAGAUGGGGAAGAAGUUUGAAGGAACCAAGAAGGGAUCCAAGGGAGAUGCCAAGAACGGAGCCUCUCGGAAGGGCAAAGAGCCCCAACUACCGCCAUCGAAGCGUGAGAAAACGAACCAGACUGCUCCGCCCAACCAGGUAAUAUCUUGGACAUGAUCGACUAUGAAAGAAGCAGAGAUCCAAGCGUUAGUUGAUGCCAAACUGCUGCAAGAGCGAGUAGUUGUGGGGUGGAGAUGUGCCGUCAACAAUCCAUGGAUGUUCGAAGAGCAUCCCCAGGAAAUGGUAAUCUUUGCCCGAUUUGUGGAAUGUGGACUCGCUCUUCCCACCUCUGAUUUCUUUCGGGGCCUGCUAGACUACUAUUCUUUGCAAUUGGUUCAUCUGAAUCCCAACAGCAUUUUGCACAUUUCCAUAUUUGUUCACUUGUGCGAAGCUUUCCUGGGGGUGGAUCCGCACUUCAAUCUUUUUCACAAGAUUUUUCAUCUGAAGCCACAACCAAGUGAAGAUGAUAUGCAAGUUAUUGGUGGUGCUGACUUCCAGAUUCGCGAAAAGUACUCGGAUCUGUACUUAAAAUACGAGCUGGUGUCAUCCCAUGGCAGUUGGAAGGAGAAGUGAUUUUAUAUUGAAGACCACGAGCCAUCUGUGCCCAAGAUAACUGGUCAUCGUCCAACGUAUAGUAGUCGGUGGCUUGAUGAACCCACCAUUAUUGGGAGUAUUCAAAUACCCGAUCUGCUAAAGAAGAUCGCUGAACGGAAGAAGCAAGAUGUGAUAGGAGUAGUCGUGGCUCGCAGUUUCCUGAAGAAACAUGUGCAGCCGUUGAAGCUUUGGUCAACUCCUGGGUAUGAGUACUCUGGAUUCGACGAUCCUUCCCGAAUGUCAUCUGAGGAUAUUUCUGAUGAAGAGGUGGAGGUUUGUCUGAGCCAAAUGUUCAGAGAGGUUGAUGAUAUGCCCGUAGUGGUCAAGGAGUUCAAGUUCAACAAACCAAACGAGCUGAAAUGAAGUAAGUCGUUAACACUUGCUACGCUUCAAGGACUCGUAAUUGCGAUUGCCUAGGGAUCCUUAAGUCGAGGAGGAGGAUGAUGAUGAUGAUGAAAUUGAGGCUUUCAGCAACUCUGAUUCUAAUACUGAAAAUGACUUUUUGAUGCAGCUGCAGGCUUCUAAGAGAGGCAAGUAGUCUUCUGACACCUCAAAACGGCCUUCAGAGGGAGAUGAUGCUGACGAGCAUAUGGCCCCGUUGCCGAAAAAGCGACGAGCAGGAGGCAACGGGGCCGGAGCAGGCGCACCGGCGCGGGAAAGCGAGGCUGGAGCAGGUGCAGGCAGCGGUGGGAUACAGUGGCUCGGCGACGGUGGGAUGCAAUGGCUCGGCGACAGCGGGAUGUGGUGGCUCAGCGACGGCGGGACAGGAGCUCAGCGGUGGCGCACGGAGGCCGGCGGCGCGGGAGACGAGGCGGGCCUCUACCUGCUGGUGCUUUUUUAUUUUUUUAGAAAACUCUUCUAUCCCAGUUGGUAUUUCCCAACCGGAAUAAAAGGGGUCUUUAGUCCCGGUUGAGUGACCCGGGACUGAAGACCCCUCCCCUUUUGUCUUAAUUGCUCUAUCCCGGAUGCUUUUUUUGGGAGAUUUGCUCCCUACCAACUAGGACUAAAAGUGAGUUCUCUACCACUGUAUCCAUUCAAGUGUCUGAAGCCUUCGGUCAAACGAACGAAUGGAUAAUAUCCAUACAACUUUCAUCCCUGGUGGAAGAUAUAUUAAAAUGGAGAAAUAAUAAGGACAUAUGUAUGGGUGCUUUAGAUGUUUCAAGAAUACGCAAGUUACUGAUACAGUUUCCUGUACACGUGCAGAAUCAAGCACUAUUUCCUGAAUUCUCCAACUUUUCUUUGUUUAUCGCCUUGCCACAAAAAUCGAGCAAAGAUAUUCCAAUUUUUGCAGCACACCAAGGGGACAUCAGAAACUUGUGCCGCAAAUUUUUCUUUAUAAACAACGUAUUUUUGCAAGUAUAUGCUUACAUUCAUGCAAUGGAAUCCAAGCUUGUAUAAUACAAAAUGUAACUAAUUAAACAUAAUAUUACUUCCAAGAAGCCAAGAAUGUGUAGCUGUACUUGAAAAUUAAUAUUUAAUUUGAAAUCGCAAAUUCCAGAACCAUAUCUUGAGAAUUUCAUGAUUACUAAUGUUGAAAAUGUCAAAUAGACUUGUACAUGAAAAAUCCAUUAUGUCAUAUCCACAAAAUCGGGACUCAAUAAUUCAAGUUAAAAUAGAGUAACAUUGCAAAACAAACAGAAAAUCAGGCAGCAUUAUGGACGUUGCAAUAGGAACUUUAUUGACUAGAAAUAAAAGGAAUUAAAAUGUAGCAUAAUUCCUUUACAUCAUGGACGUUUUGAUGGAAUGCCAUUGCCACAAAAAUAAAUGCAAUUGAAUUCUGAUUAAUUGUGACUUGCAUGGAUGCCUGGUAAUUGGUCUAUAUAACACAGACGCACACAAAGCUACAGGAACCAGAUUAACACUCGAUUAUCCCAUCAGGCUGAGCUUGAUCAUAUACUUGUGCAAGAAACAAACCCAUUCACAGGCAGUAACAAUGUCCAGCCACUUUCUCCUUAUUGUCCUCGUGGCUUCCAUCCUUCAUGUGGCAUAUGCUACAGCAGCAACAACUUCGGCGAACUUGACAGCAGAUGCGGCCGCGACGGCGUACGACAUUCUAGAGAAGAACAACUUACCACGUGGCCUUCUCCCAAAGGGCGUGCAGUCAUACAAUCUCAGCCCAGAUGGUAAAUUUGAGGUAACCCUUCCUGGCGAGUGCGACUUCCCCGUCACCUUCGGUGGCCAAGAUUUCAAGUUUCGUUUUGCAAGCACAGUCGGCGGCGUCAUCCAAGCUGGAUCCAUCCAUGAGGUGUAUGGCGUGAGGGUGCAGAUCAAGUUUGGGUGGCUUGGGUUAAGACAAGUCGAUCGUGCUGGUGACCAGCUGACGCUCCAGGUGCAGCAGUUCACGCAAACAUUUCCAACUAGCACCUUUGCCGUGAGCCCAUCCUGCAGCUAAGGGCUACGAUCGAUCUAGUGCAGGAACGUACGGCAGACAGGAGUCAUGCGUAAACUGCGGUGACUUGUCGUUUCGGGCAUGUCUUGACUGCAUUUCAUUAUUGCUCCUUAAUUUUUGAUGCCCUAGUAUAAACAUAUUGCCUGUUCCUGAAGUGCUGUAAUUUGAUUGAUUUUGUAAUAAAAGCUGAAUUUUAUGUCUUGGACUGUG
rnacentral:lncRNA from 1 species